rnacentral:rRNA from 1 species
AUAUCAAUGAGCGGAGGAAAAGAAACUAACAAGGAUUCCCCUAGUAACUGCGAGUGAAGCGGGAAAAGCUCAAAUUUAAAAUCUGGCAGUCUUUGGCUGUCCGAGUUGUAAUCUAGAGAAGUGUUAUCCGCGCUGGACCGUGUACAAGUCUCCUGGAAUGGAGCAUCAUAGGGAGGA